AACGAACGCUGGCGGCAUGCCUAACACAUGCAAGUCGAACGAGACCUUCGGGUCUAGUGGCGCACGGGUGCGUAACGCGUGGGAACCUGCCCUUAGGUUCGGAAUACCUCCCCGAAAGGGGUGCUAAUACCGGAUAAUGUCUUCGGACCAAAGAUUUAUCGCCUUUGGAUGGGCCCGCGUUGGAUUAGCUAGUUGGUAGGGUAAAAGCCUACCAAGGCGACGAUCCAUAGCUGGUCUGAGAGGAUGAUCAGCCACACUGGGACUGAGACACGGCCCAGACUCCUACGGGAGGGAGCAGUGGGGAAUAUUGGACAAGGGGCGAAAGCGUGAUCCAGCAAUGCCGCGUGAGUGAUGAAGGCCUUAGGGUUGUAAAGCUCUUUUACCCGGGAUGAUAAUGACAGUACCGGGAGAAUAAGCACCGGCUAACUCCGUG
rnacentral:rRNA from 1 species